UGGUUAUGUGGAUCUCCAACAUGUUCCAU
rnacentral:piRNA from 1 species